ensembl:lincRNA
AUGAAGAUGAGCCAAACUCACAGGAGUGCUCAGCUUCCGACGACCCCGGGCAGGGCAGGCCCCGUGCCCAGAGCCAGCAGGCUGUUCGCUGCACAAGCACCCAGCCACGCGGGGUCAGAGGAGGGCUGUUGCUUCCUCCAUUCAGCCCGCCGCCCGCCGCCUCCCUGGACACAGGUGACAAGGCUGGAGCUUUACGGCUCCGGGGAGAGGCCACCCCCGUGUCCAGCACACAGGCGGCGGGGGCGGGGAGCCCCAGGUCCGGAACACGGCGGGAGGCAGUGCAGUCCGAGAGGGUCAGUGUGCUCCCCAGGGCGUCUGUCACAGAGGCUGGAGACCUGGUUGGCUCUUCACCCUCUGCACAAGGCAGACCCAGACGGGCCUCCACUGGGCCACCCUCAGAGUGGUGAAGUCAGAACAGCUCAGGCCUCCGCCGUGAAACACACACGUGUCGUUUAAAGCGAGGGAUCCGAGGGUGAGCCGUUCAGGAGAGGAGCAGCUCAUUCCAAGGAGACAGGGACCCCCCCUCGCCCCCCAGGGGUUCCCCUCGAAGGUCAUUAAAGCGAGCCAGAUACACCACAGUCCUUCAGCCCCAUUGUCCCCGGACAAAGGGACGGCUCUCCAGGGCAAGGGCCCCAGAGGUGCCUCACAAAAAGCUCCAUCACCAUGACAACCCCAGCAAGGCUCAGGCAGGCGCACCGCGACACCAGAAUGAGCGGGGACCACCACCUUCCUCCCCGCAGACACAGCCAGAGAAACCCAGAAAGAGCCGCAGGGAAAGGCUGACUUCGGCCGCAGGGGCGGCAGGGCUGUCUCUGGGCGUGGGGUCUGGGCAAGGUACUGCUCCCCCUUUGCCCCUAGGUGAUUAGUCGUGCAGUCGUAUCUGACUCUUCGCGACCCCAUGGACUACGGUCCGCCAGGCUCCUCUAUCCAUGGAGUCUCCAGGCAAGAAUACUGGAGUGGGUGGCCAUUUCCUCCUCCAGGGAUCUUCCCAACCCAGGGACAAAACCGAGUCUCCCGCGUCCCCCCGCGUUGCAGGCAGAUGCCUUACUGCUGAGCAACUAGGGAAGCCCACUUCCUCCUUUACUGCUUUUCAACAUGGGAAGAAUUUUCUGAGUGAGCUUUUUGAACAAACCAAGAAUGCUUUUGAUUCGGAAAAGCAAUUUCUAUUAAUAGCCCACAAUAAAGCUUUAAAAGAUUUAAAAAGCACAGUGUUGGGGCUUCCCCAGGGGUCCUGUGGUGAAGACGCUGGGCUUCCACCACAGGCAAGACGGGUUCGAUCCUGGGUCAGGGAACUGAGAGCCCACAUGGUGUGCGUGGCCAAAAAUAAUAAAUAAGUAAAUAGCACCCAGCAUUACCUUCUCCUCAGUCUGUCUUGCUCAGCAGCUGCUCUGGUUUUGUUUUUACCUAGGUGCUCGUGUUGGAGAAGACUCUUGAGAGUCCCUUGGACUGCAAGGAGAUCCAACCAGUCCAUUCUGAAGGAGAUCAGCCCUGGGAUUUCUUUGGAGGGAAUGAUGCUAAAGCUGAAACUCCAGUACUUUGGCCACCUCAUGCGAAGAGUUGACUCGUUGGAAAAGACUCUGAUGCUGGGAGGGAUUGGGGGCAGGAGGAGAAGGGGACGACAGAGAAUGAGAUGGCUGGAUGGCAUCACUGACUCGAUGGACGUGAGUCUGAGUGAACUCCAGGAGUUGGUGAUGGACAGGGAGGCCUGGCGUGCUGCGAUUCAUGGGGUCGCAGAGAGUCGGACACGACUGAGCGACCAAACUGAUGGACUGACUGAGGUGCUGGUGGUUCAAAUGGUAAACAGUCUGCCUCCAAUAUGGGAAACCCAGGUUUGAUCCCUGGAUCAGGAAGAUCCCCUGGAGAAGUGAAUGGCAACCCACUCCAGUUCUCUUGCCUGGAGAAUCCCGUGGACAGAGAGCCUGGCAGACUACAGGUGCAAAGUCGGACAUGACUGAGCGACCGUCACUUUCACUUUUCAGGCACCGUAGGUGGGAUAAAAAAAAAACAUGACUAAUACAGGGGAAAAGCAAGGUGACGAGCGCAGCCGGGUGUUCCCCCCCUGCAGACCACCGGGCCAGCUCGGCAGGUCCAUGGCCCGUAAGCACCGCCAAGGCUCCUGACAACCCCCCGGCCAAGGCUGCUAAACCCCAGAGCGGACACGGCUCUCCCAAGCAGAGCACGACACAGGGUAGACCUUCCCUGUAGUCCCAGUUUGUAACCCAAGGUUAACUCUGCUCUGUGUCUUUGGCGCACCGCCAUAUAUCCACUCAACAAACACUGGCAUUCCUUCACGUCGAGCUGGGCACCCACAGCACGGACAGCCACGAGUUCUCGGGGCAGCGGGGUGGCACUCACAGUGUCACACGCCCCUGGGCACAAGAGGGCACCCAAGGGUGUCACUGAGGGCAGGAGCAGAGGGGGCAGAGGGCCCAGGCGAGCAGACGGGAGGUCAGGGGCCACAAGGGCGCCACCCAACGUGGGGCAGUGCCUGGACGAGCCCCUCUCCCCACUGACCAGAGGGGGCCCUCGG